CAGGUGAGGCACACAGAGGGGGAGGCCCGCAGCUGCGUGGGAGGAGGGGUGGUCUGAGGGACGUGGGAUGCCGGGAAUGAGGCUGGUUUGCAGGUUGGCGCAUGGACAUUUUCCCAGAGAGGGACAGAGACGGAGAAGUUUGACGGUCUGGAAAGCAGAGACCAGCAGGGCUGACUGCUUGGGAGGAGGAGAAUGCUAUUUAUUUCAGCACCAAGUAUCCGGACAGCGCCUCUCGGGAGGUCCGAGAAGAGAACCGCGGUCUGUUUCAGCACCGGGGCUCAGGACAGUUCCCAGAGGGCUCCGUUUCGGCUCCAGAACCCUGGACAGCUCCCCCAGCUUGGAAUGCACUCCCUCCACCUCCACCCAGAGCUCCCCACAACUGACCCUGCUUUCUUCUGCAAGCUCCAUUUCAUCAAGGGAAACGAUCCUUAUUGCCUCACCAUUUCCCACAUGAAGUCUGUAUUGACAUUCUCAUAGACCUGGGAUAUUGUGUCUGCAGCACAUAGUCCAAUUAUUUUCAUGUUAUCUACUGACAGCUCUAUUUGUCUCCCUGUUACACUGUGAGCUCCGUGAGGGCAGAAACAAUG
rnacentral:lncRNA from 1 species